UACGGAGGGUGCAAGCGUUAUCCGGAUUCACUGGGUUUAAAGGGUGCGUAGGUGGGCAAGUAAGUCAGUGGUGAAAUCUCCGGGCUUAACCCGGAAACUGCCAUUGAUACUAUUUGUCUUGAAUACUGUGGAGGUCAGCGGAAUAUGUCAUGUAGCGGUGAAAUGCUUAGAUAUGACAUAGAACACCAAUUGCGAAGGCAGCUUGCUACGCGGAUAUUGACACUGAUGCACGAAAGCGUGGGGAUCAAACAGG
rnacentral:rRNA from 1 species